rnacentral:rRNA from 1 species
AUUGAACGCUGGCGGCAGGCCUAACACAUGCAAGUCGAGCGAGCGGCGGACGGGUGAGUAAUGUAUGGGGACUGCCCGAUAGAGGGGGAUAACUACUGGAAACGGUGGCUAAUACCGCAUACUAUCGGAUAACCCAUAUGGGAUUAGAUAGUAGGUAAGGUAAUGGCUUACCUAGGCGACGGUCCCUAGCUGGUCUGAGAGGAUGACCAGCCACACUGGAACGGAGACACGGCCCAGACGCCUACGGAGGCAGCAGUGAGGAAUAUUGCACAAUGGGCGCAAGCCUGAUGCAGCCAUGCCGCGUGUAUGAAGAAGGCCCUAGGGUUGUAAAGUACUUUCAGUCGGGAGGCGUUACCGACAGAAGAAGCACCGGCUAACUCCGUGCCAGCAGCCGCGGUAAUAC